rnacentral:rRNA from 1 species
GUGGAUUAGAUACCCUAGUAGUCCUAGCCGUAAACGAUGGGCACUAGGUGUGGGAGGUAUCGACCCCUUCCGUGCCGCAGUUAACGCAUUAAGUGCCCCGCCUGGGGAGUACGGCCGCAAGGUUGAAACUCAAAGGAAUUGACGGGGGCCCGCACAAGCGGUGGAGCAUGUGGUUCAAUUCGACGCAACGCGAAGAACCUUACCAGGGCUUGACAUCCCACGAACCUUCCCGAAAGGGUUGGGUGCCCGCAAGGGAGCGUGGAGACAGGUGGUGCAUGGUCGUCGCCAGCU